GAAAUGCGAUAAGUAAUGUGAAUUGCAGAAUUCAGUGAAUCAUCGAAUCUUUGAACGCACAUUGCGCCCGCCAGCACUCUGGCGGGCAUGCCUGUUCGAGCGUCAUUUCAACCCUCAGAACCCCUUGCGGGAUCUGGCGUUGGGGAUUGGCAUCCAGCCAGCCCCGAAAUCUAGUGGCGGUCCCUCCGCGACCUCCCCUGUGCAGUAGCGAUACCUCGCAGCGGGACAGCGGUCUGACCUCGCCGUAAAACCCCCAACUUCUCAAGGUUGACCUCGAAUCAGGUAGGAAUACCCGCUGAACUUAAGC
rnacentral:misc_RNA from 1 species